rnacentral:rRNA from 1 species
CUGCUGCCUCCCGUAGGAGUCUGGUCCGUGUCUCAGUACCAGUGUGGGGGACCUUCCUCUCAGAACCCCUACGCAUCGUCGCCUCGGUGGGCCGUUACCCCGCCGACUAGCUAAUGCGACGCAUGGCCAUCCUAUGCCGGAGUCGCCUCCUUUGACCCCCAAGAAGAUGUCUCCUAAAGGUGUUAUGCGGUAUUAGACGGAAUUUCUUCCGCUUAUCCCCCUGCAUAGGGCAGGUUCCAUACGUGUUACUCACCCGUGCGCCGGUCG